rnacentral:lncRNA from 1 species
AGCACUCGCGCCCUUGGGGGCUAGCGUUUGGCCGGAGCUACACACUCUUUACUCACGCACGCACACCGCCGUACACAGCACAAUCGUUCACCGUCCCGCCAAAGGCUCGUCUCUCGGGUUCUGCCUAGUGGAAGGAGUCGGACAACGCCGCACGUCACGGGCGUUUCGGAUUUCUUGCUUCCCAAAGGUUUGACGGCGGCCACCGGCGCCCCGGCCCAGCUCUGCUUUCCUUUGCUGACUCCUUCCUUUAGGUGUGAAUUUUAAAAUGCUGAUACCGCCCCAAGAGAGCUGAGUCAAGUGAGGCAAACGUUCGCCUGUUGUUCUCCUGACAGACUCCCUGCAGUGGGCAGGGGAAAUGUGGCCUUGGCCGACAUUAAUGAAGUGCCAGGAUGGAGGGAGGGGGCCUGCUGAUUUGUUCUGUUUUACUUUUUAAGGGUAACUAGAGCGUUACUGGAGUCGUCUGUGGGUUUGGGGAGUAUGUGGCGCGUGUGUGUGUCACACAUUUCACUGGCAACUCCCGCCAACCCCUUCCCAAGAAAUGAAGGCUCUAAUGUGGGCAGUUCUGCAACAAAGGUGAAACUUCCCCAAAUCACGAUUCCCCGCAAGAUGAGAGAGCAGGUGCAGCAUCCAUUUUCCCACUAUCACGCUUGAGAUGGUGGCUUUGGGCACUGCCGGGUGCCCCGACAUCCUUCCCAGAGCCCAGCCUUCCCACCCAGGCCCGGCCCUGCGCGGCCGCCUGCCUUUGCAUCAGAGACCGCGGCUGUGCCAUUGCCAAGGUGGGCAGCGCCGCCUCGCUUCCCCAUUCCUCCGUCUCCCACGCCUCUUGCGUGUUUGAGUCGCGAAGUGAUGGACUUUAAAUCUCAGAGGAGGAAUGAGAAACUUGGUUAGUGGCUCUCUUGGCAUGUUCGUAGCCCUGUGGUUGAAGUGGCUGAAACCUGCGUUGAGCCUCAGUCCAAGCAGCUGGGGCCACACCAGUUUGCAAAAGCGGAUGUGGCAGUUUCCACCGCAGCAGCAGCCUGCUGGCGCCUCAUCAGAUUCUCCUUUGGAGGAAGUAUCUUCUUCCCUUCAUUCUCGGUGAAUGGCAUCCAGAGAUAACCAAAAUCAGGUGUAUCUAGUUUCAAGUUCUGUCUUGCAACCGUGAUAAUUGGAGGAUGCAAACUUUACACUUUCUUCUCUAGCUGUCUACCACCACUGCUGCGCUUGUGGAUGACUGCAGGAACACCGGGUACUUGCCACAAGUAUCUCUCCAGAUUCAUCAGCCUUUCACCUGUGACAAGCUCAGUCAAGAAGUGGCUCCUAAGUAAAAGCUGGGGAAGAACAAGGAAGAUAGAGCUCAGAGUAGAAAGCUGUGAAGUUCUGCACAACAGGUCCCCUUGGCCUGCUCUAACAGUUGGAAGACAGGCAUGGUAGCUCAUGUGGAAGCUUCCCGAGGCCCUCACCCAGAAGCAGAUGCUGGAGCCAUGCUUGUACAGCUUGCAGAACUAAAGCCCAGCUGGCUUGGUUCCAUGAAUCUUUGCCCUUCUUUCCAUCCACUUCUUCCUGCUUGGACAUUGGUUACCUGGAGAAGCAGAAGCCAUUUUAAGAUGAUGAAAGCAAAAGUUAAAUGUAUGAGAUGAUGGUGCAGAAAGCCAAAAGGGGCCUCCAGAACACUGAGCUUUGUGGAGUCGUGUACCAUAGCUGUAUUGCCGACCUCUGAACUUCCUGCUGAGAUAAAAAACAAUCCUUAUGUGUUUAUACUACUUUUAUUUCAGUUUCUUUUAAGUAUAGCAAACACAUUCCAAAUAAUAUGCAUCUGAAGUUUUUGGUUUUGUUUUUAAAUUUUUUUUUUAGGGAUGGGUUCUGGCUGCGUAGUGGCUAGAGUGUAGUGGCUA